AAACCCUGCCAGACAAAGAAAACAAUUACUUGAUAUCAGAAAUGAACAAAGUUGCUGAUAUGGUGGAUAAUGAUCGAUUUAACUUACUUCUUGAGCAUUUGAGUCAUGUCCGCAUACUCCUGGGGAUCUUUUCGUUUAGAGUUCAAAACAGUUACAACUCCCUUCUCAAGCUUAAUCUCUAGGAGAAUAUAGUGGAACCUGCGCACGCAUGCAUAACUCAUCAAUUACAUUACUAUAACCUUGACUAAUAUAUAAGGGAAACCGAAUAUGCAUAAGACAGUAACACUCACUUGAAGUUGUAAGGAAAGAGUAUUAUAUCUUUAUUUUCAUUUAUUACCAACGAUCGUAGCAAGUUGGCCUCGGUAUCUGCGGUAUGAAAUUUAACUUUGGUUGCAUCUAUGAGAUUUGUGUUAAUGAACCCAAUAUCACCACUACAAGAAAUCUGUUAAUCCAUGACGGAUUUCCGGUGACAUCUUCGAAAUCUGUCAUGGAUGGCCUGGUAGAACCCCGCAGGCCCGCUCAAGCCCACUCAAGCCCGCAUAACCAGCUCCCCGUAUAAAAAGCUAACCCUAAAACCACCUCCUCGGCCCCUCCUCUCUUCAUCCUCCGUAGCGGCGCAGCCAACUCUCUCUCGCCCCUCUCUUUCUCUCCCCCACGCGUCUCCUCGCCGCCGCCGCCCCAAUUCGAGCGACUUCCGACGGCUAUGGCCAGCGCGCGGCACACCCUCUUCUUCCCCUCACUCUGCUCCUUCCUCCCCUCGCCACCAGCGCUUGCCCGCAAGCCCUCCCCGUGGCUAGGGUUUCGGCGCCGGCGAGGCUUCAACGGAUCUGGCGGCUCAUCUCUGGCCACCGCGUGUUCCUCCACCACCGUCGGGCAGCUCGACCUGUGGUUGUCCUCCCCGACCGUCGGGCAGCUCGACCUGUGGUUGUCCUCCCCGACCGUCGGGCAGCUCGACCUGUGGUUGUCCUCCCCGACCGUCGGGCAGCUCGAUCUGUUGCUUCCUCCGUGAUAGCGCCACAACAAGGCCCACUGCUGCCCUUCCAGAUGCAGAGCAGCUCGACCUCAACUUCCCUCCCCGACUGUUGGAACUCGCGUUAGUGCACUACUCUAAUGCCGGAGCUUGCAUCGCUGUCCUCCCGCCACCACUGAAGUUGAGUGUCAAAGUUUGUGAAAUUUGCUUGAGGGCCAUCCGGUCAAGUACAUCAUGAAGAAAGGGAAGGGUACCCAGUAGAGACAGAAGGCACAUGUUCGUCAACCGGCUGCACUGUGCUAUGUGGACUUCUAUCAAGAUCAACUUUUGUUUAAUUUUCUACAAAUAUCUAAUUCAGUUUAGAUUUUUCUGACAGUUUCAUGUAUAUUUGUUCUCUAAAUCAAUAUAAUUAAGUGUUCUAUAUGCAUUCAGUUUAGUUUUCUAUCAAAAUAUAAUUCAGUAUGAAUCAAUGUAAUCAAGUGGUGAAUAAUUUCAUCAAAUAGGAGACAUGAUUUUUGUUAUACUGUAUUAAUAUGGUGACAUGUUCUAUUUAGAGUUUUCUAUUAAAAUAUAAUUCAGUAUGAAUCAAUGUAAUCAAGUGGUGAAUAAUUUCAUCAAAUAGGAGACAUGAUUUCUGUUCCUGUAUUAAUAUGGUGACAUGUUCAGUUUAGAGUUUUCUCCAUACACUUCUGUCCAUAUUGUCAACUGCAGCUUGGUGAAUAUAUAUAACCAGAAUUAAGUUUAAUCUGAAUCUAAGAAGAAAAAUACAUCGGUACAGUGUGGCAGUACUGCAGUUAUAAUACAGAGGUUUAAACCUGUUCAUUUGUGUACUAAGCAAAUGUAGUACUGCUACCAUUAGUUGUGCGCCUACUAAUACUAGAACCAAUGCCAUGUUAGUUCACUCUCCCUCAACCUGGAGGCACACACCAAGCUAGCACUUGCCAACACAGUGACACACAUUUCUUCUUCAACUCGUGUGCUCCCUGCGUCCAAGCCAGGUUGCCCUCCGCAAUAGUUUUGCCGAGAAGGGUUGAUGUCUACUGUCUGAUCCUAAAUCUUUUCCCUGAUGUUUUCCCUUUUUUACGAUCAAUUAACACUGUAAUCUCGCUGAUUAUGAUAUCUGUUUUUUUUGGAUGUAGGUCUAGGUGGUGUUGUAGCAGCCGUGCCGCUGCAUGGCGCACAAUAGAGCUCGAGAGGGCGGACGCGAUAACUGUUGGUGGAGCUGCUCCGUGAUCAACCAGGGGUAUGAUUGCGUACCAGGCUACUUGGUGCUGCCUAUCAAAAUUCGCACGACAUGAUAGUUUCCAUCAGGAGGGCCGAUGGCAAGAACUUGAAUAACAACUUCAAUAGUUUAGAUGUUCUGUUUGUGUGAACUGGAUUGUACUGUUUUCUAACUUUGCUAAGUGAUAUAUUUUAUUAAUCUAUGUUGUAAAUUAUCAUUUUGUGGAGGAAUUUGUAAAUUGCUAUGUUAUAGAUGCUUGCAGAUGACUGCAUAUAUUGAUUCAUAUGUGCACGUGAGGCACUUUGGAAAUA